rnacentral:rRNA from 1 species
UACGAAGGGGGCUAGCGUUGUUCGGAUUUACUGGGCGUAAAGCGCACGUAGGCGGAUCGUUAAGUCGGGGGUGAAAUCCUGGAGCUCAACUCCAGAACUGCCUUCGAUACUGGCGAUCUUGAGUCCGGAAGAGGUGAGUGGAACUCCUAGUGUAGAGGUGGAAUUCGUAGAUAUUAGGAAGAACACCAGUGGCGAAGGCGGUCCCCUGGGCCGGAACUGACGCUGAGGCGCGAAAGCGUGGGUAGCAAACGGG